CAGGGCUACACACGUGCUACAAUGGCAUAUACAAAGAGAAGCGACCUCGCGAGAGCAAGCGGACCUCAUAAAGUAUGUCGUAGUCCGGAUUGGAGUCUGCAACUCGACUCCAUGAAGUCGGAAUCGCUAGUAAUCGUAGAUCAGAAUGCUACGGUGAAUACGUUCCCGGGCCUUGUACACACCGCCCGUCACACCAUGGGAGUGGGUUGCAAAAGAAGUAGGUAGCUUAACCUUCGGGAGGGCGCUUACCACUUUGUGAUUCAUGACUGGGGUGAAGUCGUAACAAGGUAACCGUAGGGGAACCUGCGGUUGGAUCACCUCCUUACCUUAAAGAA
rnacentral:rRNA from 1 species